rnacentral:tRNA from 1 species
AAUGGAAUUUUCCUCCUUAGA